CGGGCACAUCUCGUUGAAACACCUGUUCCCGUACAAUUAUUGAAGUUAAGCAACGUGGAGCCUGCGCAGUACCUAGAUGGGUGACCACUUGGGAAUAACAAGUGCCAU